rnacentral:rRNA from 1 species
UAUACCCGUUAAGGCAUGAUGGCCUGUACCCGAAACCGACACAGGUGGGGUGGUAGAGAAUACCGAGGGGCGCGAGGUAACUCUCUCUAAGGAACUCGGCAAAAUGGCCCCGUAACUUCGGGAGAAGGGGUGCCACCGCAAGGUGGUCGCAGUGAAGAGGCCUAGGCGACUGUUUACCAAAAACACAGGUCUCCGCUAAGUCGCAAGACGAUGUAUGGGGGCUGACGCCUGCCCAGUGCCGGAAGGUUAAGGAAGCUGGUCAGCGUAAGCGAAGCUAGCGACUGAAGCCCCGGUGAACGGCGGCCGUAACUAUAACGGUCCUAAGGUAGCGAAAUUCCUUGUCGGGUAAGUUCCGACCCGCACGAAAGGCGUAACGAUCUGGGCGCUGUCUCGGAGAGAGGCUCGGCGAAAUAGAAUUGUCUGUGAAGAUGCGGACUACGUGCACCCGGACAGAAAGACCCUAUGAAGCUUUACUGUAGCUUGGUAUUGUGCUCGGGCUCGGAAUGCGCAGGAUAGGUGGGAGGCUAUGAACCAUUGCUUGCGGGUGAUGGUGAGCCACUGGUGAGAUACCACUCUUUCCGAGCUAGAGUUCUAACAGCCACCCGUUAUCCGGGGGCUGGACAGUAUCAGGUGGGCAGUUUGACUGGGGCGGUCGCCUCCUAAAAGGUAACGGAGGCGCGCAAAGGUUUGCUCAGGCUGGUUGGAAAUCAGCCGACGAGUGUAAAAGCAGAAGCAAGCUUGACUGUGAGACCUACAGUCGAACAGGGAGGAAACUCGGCUUUAGUGAUCCGACGGUUCUGCGUGGAAGGGCCGUCGCUCAACGGAUAAAAGUUACUCUAGGAUAACAGGCUGAUCUCCCCCAAGAGUUCACAUCGACGGGGAGGUUUGGCACCUCGAUGUCGGCUCAUCGCAACCUGGGGCUGAAGUCGGUCCCAAGGGUUGGGCUGUUCGCCCAUUAAAGCGGUACGCGAGCUGGGUUCAGAACGUCGUGAGACAGUUCGGUCCAUAUCCGGUGCAUGCGCAGGAAUAUUGAGAGGAUUUCUCCCUAGUACGAGAGGACCGGGAGGAACGCACCUCUGGUGUACCAGUUAUCGUGCCAACGGUAAACGCUGGGUAGCCAUGUGCGGAGAGGAUAACCGCUGAAAGCAUCUAAGUGGGAAGCCCACCUCAAGAUGAGUAUUCCCAUGGGGUAACCCAGUAAGGUCACGGGAAGAACACCCGUUGAUAGGCUCUACGUGGAAGCGCAGUAAUGUGUGAAGCGGAGGAGUACUAAUAGACCGAGGGCUUGAC